rfam:Schistosoma margrebowiei strain Zambia genome assembly, scaffold: SMRZ_contig0000079
GUCCAUCUGACGAGUCCAAAAUAGGACGAAAUGUGCGUCAAACUGGAU